rnacentral:rRNA from 1 species
CCCUUAGAUGUUCUGGGCCGCACGCGCGCUACACUGAUGAAUGCAACGAGCUCUACCCUUGACCGAAAGGCCCUGGUAAACUUGUGAAACUUCAUCGUGAUGGGGAUAGAUUAUUGCAAUUAUUAAUCUUCAACGAGGAAUUCCUAGUAAGCGCGAGUCAUCAGCUCGCGUUGAUUACGUCCCUGCCCUUUGUACACACCGCCCGUCGCUCCUACCGAUUGAAUGGUCCGGUGAAAUCUUCGGAUUGCUGACCAAGAUCCAGCAAUGGAGCUUGGUUGCGAGAAGUUGAUUAAACCUUAUUAUUUAGAGGAAGGAGAAGUCGUAACA